rnacentral:lncRNA from 1 species
AACAUUUAUUCAUUCACAUCAUUCAAAAUGUUUUGUUUUUAAAUUCAUUGUAAUCAGAUGUAAUCAUGAUUACUUUGUCAAUGUAAUCAUUAAUUUAAUCAGAUACUUUCAGAAAUGAUGUAAUCAUUAAUUUAAUUUAAUCGUACAAAUGACAAAGUAAUUGUAAUUUAAUCAAUUACAUUGAAAGUAAUCGGACCCAUCUCUGGUCUAUUUCCUAACAUUUUUUCAGAUCCCAUCUUUUUAAUAUAUAUUCAUUGGGUCAAAGUUUCAUGGUUUAUCAUGGUUUAAUUUUAAUUUCACUUUUGUCAUGCUGUAAAUAUGGCAAAAGAAUUUUUCUUCCUUAAAUGUUAGAAAAUUAUUGUAUAAAAAAAAAAAAAAAAAACUGCAAGUCAGUGUAAAAUUUGUGAUAAUUUAUGUAUUUAAUCCAGAGAUAUUGAUAUAUCUUAAAAAUUAGUUGAAACAUUUUAUAUAUUGUACAAUUUUUCAUGCAAAUAAUCUGAGGGCUAUUCCAGAAAAAAAUGUAUGGGGGGUUGGAAGGCAGUUUUUAUGUAUUAUUAAUAUACUGUGCCUUCCAACCCCCCAUACAUUUUUUUCUGGAAUAGCCCUGAUUAAAAUUUAGUGAUAUAUGUAUUAUGAUUGGAUGAUCUCAAAACUUCAUUUCAAAUUGUCACCUUGAUGCACCAAGAAACAAUUUGAUUAUAACCGAAAAGUCUUUUAAAGCUAAUUGUGUAGCAUAUAUCAAUAUUUUGAUUUUAAUACUAUUUUUAAUUAGUUUGGAAACUGGAAAAUUGGUGUUUUACAGUCAUAAAUGAAUUGUCCAAUGAGACACAUUUAUCAAAUUACAUUUUUCAAAUGAAAAAUAAACUUUGAUAAUAAAAUUUAUCAAACAAGUUUUCGGUAUCAAAGCGUAAAUUUUAUGUCUAGUAAUUCUACAUCAAAUCAUGAGAUGGUAUUGAUACAUAAUGUCAGUGUUGAUCAGUUUUAUUUGUAUUUAUGUUUACUAAUUGUUUGUACACAUGUACAAUCACAUCAUGAAAGGAAAAUAAUAAAUAUGAUUUCCAA